rnacentral:rRNA from 1 species
GACUUCUGGUGUAAUGUGCCUGGCCCGCGGCUCUUUAGGCCUGUGAGUGCCGGUGCGCGUUUACCAUCCUUCUGGGGAACGGGUCUACCCUUUACUGGGCCGGAUUCGGGAUCCAGAUCAUUUACUUUGAAAAAAUUAGAGUGUUUAAAGCAUGAAUACAUGAGAAUCUAGGACUUCGGUUCUAUUUUGUUGGUUUCUGUAACUGAAGUAAUGAUUGAUAGGGAUAGUUGGGGGUGCUAGUAUUGGCCGGUCAGAGGUGAAAUUCUUGGAUUGGGUCAAGACUAACUUAUGCGAAAGCAUU